GAUGAACGCUGGCGGCGUGCCUAAUACAUGCAAGUCGAGCGAACAGACGAGGAGCUUGCUCCUCUGACGUUAGCGGCGGACGGGUGAGUAACACGUGGAUAACCUACCUAUAAGACUGGGAUCACUUCGGGAAACCGGAGCUAAUACCGGAUAAUAUAUUGAACCGCAUGGUUCAAUAGUGAAAGACGGUUUUGCUGUCACUUAUAGAUGGAUCCGCGCCGCAUUAGCUAGUUGGUAAGGUAACGGCUUACCAAGGCUACGAUGCGUAGCCGACCUGAGAGGGUGAUCGGCCACACUGGAACUGAGACACGGUCCAGACUCCUACGGGAGGCAGCAGUAGGGAAUCUUCCGCAAUGGGCGAAAGCUUGACGGAGCAACGCCGCGUGAGUGAUGAAGGUCUUCGGAGCGUAAAACUCUGUUAUUAGGGAAGAACAAAUGUGUAAGUAACUAUGCACGUCUUGACGGUACCUAAUCAGAAAGCCACGGCUAACUACGUG
rnacentral:rRNA from 1 species